rnacentral:rRNA from 1 species
UACGGGGGGAGCAAGCGUUGUUCGGAUUUACUGGGCGUAAAGGGCGCGUAGGCGGCCAGCACAAGUCAGUUGCGAAAUCUCCGGGCUUAACUCGGAAAGGUCAACUGAUACUGUGCGGCUAGAGUGCAGAAGGGGCAACUGGAAUUCUCGGUGUAGCGGUGAAAUGCGUAGAUAUCGAGAGGAACACCUGCGGCGAAGGCGGGUUGCUGGGCUGACACUGACGCUGAUGCGCGAAAGCCAGGGGAGCGAACGGG